rnacentral:rRNA from 1 species
CCUACGGGAUGCAGCAGUGAGGAAUAUUGGUCAAUGGGCGAGAGCCUGAACCAGCCAAGUCGCGUGAAGGAUGACGGCCCUACGGGUUGUAAACUUCUUUUGUCAGGGCGCAAUUGAGUCCACGUGUGGGCUUAGCGAGAGCACCUGCAUAAAAAGCAUCGGCUAACUCCGUGCCAGCAGCCGCGGUAAUACGGAGGAUGCGAUCGGUACCCGGAUUGGUGGGGUUUAAAGGGUGCGUAGGCGGAAUAUCAAGUCAGCGGUAAAAAUGCGGGGCUCAACCCCGUCGUGCCGUUGAAACUGAUGUUCUUGAGUGGGCGAGAAGUAUGCGGAAUGAGUGGUGUAGCGGUGAAAUGCA